rnacentral:rRNA from 1 species
UACGUAGGGUGCAAGCGUUUAAUCGGAAUUACUGGGCGUAAAGCGUGCGCAGGCGGUUAUGUAAGACAGGUGUGAGAUCCCCGGGCUUAACCUGGGAACUGCAUUUGUGACUGCAUAGCUAGAGUACGGUAGAGGGGGAUGGAAUUCCGCGUGUAGCAGUGAAAUGCGUAGAUAUGCGGAGGAACACCGAUGGCGAAGGCAAUCCCCUGGGCCUGCACUGACGCUCAUGCACGAAAGCGUGGGGAGCAAACAGG